AAGAAUCUGGACACAGGUGCUGCAUGGCUGUCGUCAGCGUCGUCGUCGUGAGAUGUUGGGUUAAGUCCCGUAACGAGCGCAACCCUUGUCCUUAGUUACCAGCACGUUAUGGUGGGCACUCUAAGGAGACUGCCGGUGACAAACCGGAGGAAGGUGGGGAUGACGUCAAGUCAUCAUGGCCCUUACGGCCUGGGCUACACACGUGCUACAAUGGUCGGUACAAAGGGUUGCCAAGCCGCGAGGUGGAGCUAAUCCCAUAAAACCGAUCGUAGUCCGGAUCGCAGUCUGCAACUCGACUGCGUGAAGUCGGAAUCGCUAGUAAUCGUGAAUCAGAAUGUCACGGUGAAUACGUUCCCGGGCCUU
rnacentral:rRNA from 1 species